CACUCGAACGCUACAUGCGUCUGUCGAAAAUGGAGCUGAACAGGCUGGAAUCAAAGGGCCUGGCAGAUUUGAGAGAAGAAUCAAUAAGAUCCCAGGACAUUACAAGAGACUCACAGUUGGACUUCACGCACCA